AUUUUUGGAAGAAAUUUAAAAGACUUGGACAGCAAGGAUUACAGAGUAGCGAAUUUGGAUUUAGUUGUGGCAUUAAUCCAGAUUUAUGUAUCAUCAUCAUAUAACAUGAUGACUUCCUGAACGUGGUCUUUCUCGUCUGUGUGCUGGAAGAGUGAGGUUAGAUGAGUGUCAGACUGAAACACCCAGUUAGAAAAGAGGACAAAACCUCAGCAGGAGCUGAAAUGGAAAUUAUGAGCUGCACUAAUGGAGCAUGUCUCGUGUUAAAAGUACUCAGACCGGACUCCCAACCACCUGACUGAGGAGAUGCUCUGUGCUGAAACCGUAAAGGUUAGAUGAGUGUCAGACUGAAACACCCAGUUAGAAAAGAGGACAAAACCUCAGCAGGAGCUGAAAGGGAACGCAUGAGCUGAGAAAAUAAGAUGAUGUGCCGUGUCGAGUAUCCAGAUACUGCGGUUGUUUCCUGAAGUAAAGACGAGCAGCGUGUCUACAUACAGCACAGACACGUUUUUAUCCGCCCUUACAUCUGAACUUGUUUUGGUGUUGACUGCAAUGUCUUUACAAAUUUGUAAAAUUGGUUGUCAGAUCUUUUCUGUGAAGUAAAUAAAGAAUAAUAAUGUGGAAAAAUAAUGUGUGUAUGUACUGUCCCGUGUCAUACUCAGUGUUUGUAUCCAACUUUUGAUGCAUGUCAAAUACAUCCAGUUUGUUUCAGAGGUAUAUACAGGACUGAUUUGCAAACUGAUUUGUCUUUCCAAAGAUACACACACCCCUUCACUCAAAACUCUCUCUCUCUCUCUCUCUCUCUCUCUCUCUCUCUCUCUCUCUCCCUCUCUCUCUCUCUACUAAGCCUGCCUUUAAUAUGAUGCACAUGUGAGGUGGGUUUGUUUUUGUUUUUUCCCUAACAACCAAUGUAAAGUUGCUUAGAAUUGAGUCUGUGCUGCUUUUCUGUGAAUGUAUAUUAACAGCUUGGUUACGUGGCUAUUAUUAGGCUGCAUUCGACUUACCACAUAAGUGAGAUGUCUGAACUUGGAAUUACAUAAUUUUAAACCUUUGUGUUCGAGCUUCAAAGUAAGGGGUGAAAAACAUGGAUGCCUCUUGGGCAGAUUAUUCAAAAGCAUGGUCUGGGUUAUCAUUGCUAUGCAGCUGAUACCCAGAUUUAAAUUAGUACUCAACCUGAUGUUACAUCAGCACUUUCAGCUUUAUCUGCUUGUUUACUGGAAAUACAGACAGAUGAAACAGAACUUCCUACAGAUAACUGUUUGAAAACUGUGUGAUGUUUGAUGCACAGCUGACUUUUAACACUCAUUUCAAGAAUGUUACUAAAGUAGCUUUUUAUCAUCUUCGGAAUAUUGCACGUAUAAGACCGUUUCUCUCUAUGCCUGGUGCAGAAAGGCUUAUUCAUGCCUUUAUAACAUCUAGGCUUGAUUAUUGUAAUUCACUUUUUGCAGGGUUACCUGCAAAUUUGAUUAAGAGGCUGCAAUAUGUGCAAAAUUCAGCUGCUUGUGUUUUAACUUACACACCAUCCCGUAGUCAUAUCACUCCUGUGCUUUCUAAACUACACUGGCUUCCAGUUCAAUCACGUAUUGAUUUUAAAGUUCUUAUCUUAACUUAUAAAGCAGUAUAUGGGCUGGCCCCAGAGUAUAUUUGUAAUUUGGUCUCAGUGUCCACACCAUCUCUGUCUCUCCGCUCUGCUGGUUCUUACUCUGUAGCAGCCUCGCUGUAAACUCAAAACUUUGGGUGGGAGGUCAUUCUCUUGUACUGCUCCGAGGUUGUGGAAUUCUCUGCCUCUUCCUAUUAGAAAUGCUCCGUCUUUUGAUUGUUUUAAGAAAUUACUCAAAACAUAUCUCUUUAGUGAAGCUUUUAAGUUAUAAUCUUACAGUUGUUGUUGUCAUUGUUGUUAUUGUGUUGUCAUUGUGAUUACUAUUAUGGAGUUGUGUUUUUUCUUUUGUUGUGUUAUACUGUUGUAGCACCUUGAGUGUAAGAAAGGCGCAUUAUAAAUAAAAUUUAUUAUUAUUAUUAUG